rnacentral:misc_RNA from 1 species
GAUGAAGAACGUAGCGAAAUGCGAUAAGUAAUGCGAAUUGCAGAAUUCAGUGAAUCAUCGAAUCUUUGAACGCACAUUGCGCCCGCCAGUAUUCUGGCGGGCAUGCCUGUCUGAGCGUCGUUUCGACCCUCGCGCCCGGCUUCUGUCGGGGGCGGUGUUGGGGAUCGGCCACACCCUUCAGUGGGAGGCCGGCCCCUAAAUUCAGUGGCGACCACGCUGUAGCCUCCCCUGCGUAGUACUAAAACCACCUCGCAGGCGGAGAGCGGUGCGGCCCGCCGUAAAACCCCCCAACUUUUACAAGGUCGACCUCAGAUCAGGUAGGAAUACCCGCUGAACUUAAGCAUAUCAAUAGCGGAGGA